rnacentral:rRNA from 1 species
CUACGGGACGCACCAGUGAGGAAUAUUGCACAAUGGGGGGAACCCUGAUGCAGCAACGCCGCGUGGAGGAUGACGCAUUUCGGUGUGUAAACUCCUUUUAUAUGUCAAGAAAAUGACGGUAGCAUAUGAAUAAGCACCGGCUAACUCCGUGCCAGCAGCCGCGGUAAUACGGAGGGUGCAAGCGUUACUCGGAAUCACUGGGCGUAAAGGACGCGUAGGCGGGUUGGAAAGUCAGGUGUGAAAUCCUACAGCUUAACUGUAGAACUGCACUUGAAACUUCUAAUCUAGAGUAUGGGAGGGGGAGAUGGAAUUAGUUGUGUAGGGGUAAAAUCCGUAGAUAUCAAUAGGAAUACCUAAAGCGAAGGCGAUCUCCUGGAACAUUACUGACGCUAAGGCGUGAAAGCGUGGGGAGAAAACAGGAUUAGAUACCCGCGUAGUC